rnacentral:rRNA from 1 species
AACGAACGCUGGCGGCAGGCUUAACACAUGCAAGUCGAACGCCCCGCAAGGGGAGUGGCAGACGGGUGAGUAACGCGUGGGAAUCUACCCAGCUCUACGGAAUAACUCAGGGAAACUUGUGCUAAUACCGUAUACGUCCGAGAGGAGAAAGAUUUAUCGGAGUUGGAUGAGCCCGCGUUGGAUUAACUAGUUGGUAGGGUAAUGGCCUACCAAGGCGACGAUCCAUAGCUGGUCUGAGAGGAUGAUCAGCCACACUGGGACUGAGACACGGCCCAGACUCCUACGGGAGGCAGCAGUGGGGAAUAUUGGACAAUGGGCGAAAGCCUGAUCCAGCCAUGCCGCGUGAGUGAUGAAGGCCCUAGGGUUGUAAAGCUCUUUCACCGGUGAAGAUAAUGACGGUAACCGGAGAAGAAGCCCCGGCUAACUACGUGCCAGCCGCCGCCGUAA